GCUGGGGCUCACCCAGCUGUCGAGAGACGCUGACCUGGAGAAAAACAUCCAGAUGAAGAUGGAUUCAUCUAUUCUCUGCAGGGCUGUCCUCGUCCUCCUCGCGCUCCCCUCGAAUGCAGCCACUGCAGCGAUGGAGCCUCUCUCUUCAUCUCAUUGGCCUCAUCAGCGUUUACAACAACAAGAGUGGAUUACAGGAGGACUAAUGGUGGCACACACGCUCAUCCAUAUCAACGGUAUGGAGGUUGAACAUGUCACCAGCUUCAAAUUCCUGGGUGUCCACAUCUCUGCGGACCACUCUUGGUACCUCAAAACCUCAACCCUGGCGAAGAAGGCUCACCAGCCGCUCUUCUUCCUGAGGAGACUUAAGAAGGUUAAUCUGUCUCACCAGAUUCUGGUGAACUUUUACCGCUGCAACUGCAUCACAGUUUUGUAUAGCAACUGCUCUGUCUCGGACCAGAAAGCACUGCAGAGGCUGGAGAAAACGGCCCAAUGCAUCAAUCGGUUCCUAACUUUCCUCCAUUGAGGCUGUCCAGCACAAGUGAUGUCUGCGAAAGGCGUGCAGCAUUGUCAAGGACUGUUCUCACACCAACCACAGACGGUUUACCUUCUGCUCCCCUGGGUCAUCCUGUUCCCGGACCUUAGUGUACUCACCUAUAUUAAUGUACAUACCCCACCUAUAAUAUAUUUAUUUCAUUACCACUGUCUAUAAUGUACAUAUAUGUCCAUUUAUCUGUCCAUAUAUCAGAAUUAGAAUCAGAAUCAGAAUUGGUUUUAUUGGCCAAGUAACACGUACAAGGAAUUUGACUCCGCGCUUUUUAAUAAAAAAGUGUAUAUAUUAAAAAAGUAAGAAUAAGAAUAAAAAUUGUAAACAUAUAUUAUGUAUACAUAUAUAACAUAUAUUACUGUAUAUACUUAACCUAUUAUGCAUUCAUAUCACUACCACUUUCUAUUUAUAUGUAUUUAUCUAUUAUUUAGACUCUUUCAAUUUAGUAUUCUUAUUCUCCAUAUUUUUUGCAAUUCGUAUAUUUUACAUUCAUAUGUGUAGAUAAUGUAUAUAUUUUUAAAGUGUGCUGUGUGAAACAUGCUGCUGUUACACCGGAAUUUCCCAGCUUGGGAUAAAUAAAGUAACUAUCUAUCUAUCUUUCUAUACUGUACAUAUCUGUCCAUAGCAUAUUUACUAUAGUCUUACUACCACAAUUUAUUUAACUUCCUUAGUGUAUUCAUACUGCCAAUACUGUUCAUACUCACAUAUCACAUUUAUAUUCUAUUUUACUAUACAUGUUACUCUUCACUUUACUGCUUUUUUUGCACUUCUGGUUAGAUACUAACUGUAUUUUCAUUUUCUCAGUACUUUUGCAAAGACUAUAAAAAUCUAAUCUAAUAUAAUUUGGAGGUGUAAUUUUGCUAAGCACAAUUAUUAGAGUUACAAAAUGUUUUUGUGU
rnacentral:lncRNA from 1 species